rnacentral:rRNA from 1 species
CAGCCGCCGCGGUAAUACGAAGGGUGCAAGCGUUAAUCGGAAUUACUGGGCGUAAAGCGUGCGUAGGCGGUUUGUUAAGUCUGUUGUGAAAUCCCCGGGCUCAACCUGGGAAUGGCAGUGGAUACUGGCUCGCUAGAGUGUGUCAGAGGAUGGUGGAAUUCCCGGUGUAGCGGUGAAAUGCGUAGAGAUCGGGAGGAACAUCAGUGGCGAAGGCGGCCAUCUGGGACAACACUGACGCUGAGGCACGAAAGCGUGGGGAGCAAACAGGAUUAGAUACCCCGGUAGUCCCUGUCUCUUAUAC